rnacentral:lncRNA from 1 species
AUCAUAGUACAAAUAAAAAAAAUUAUGUCACAUAUGAUCGACCAGUUAGCAACUCCGACGAACUAAAGCAUGCCACGUGGCAAGGUAAGCUGACAUCGGUGCCACACAGGCGAUCCGCACGCUCCUCGAUCAAACGGCCUAGGAUUAAUAUCGCGCGUGUGGACGGCCUGAAUUUGUUUUCCCUUUAAAUGCGAUCGGACAAUUGAGAUCAAAUCGCAAUAAACAGUCCAGAUUAAUUUUCUCCGUAGAUGCGAUCGGACGGUCAAGAUCAAAUCGUAAUAGACAGUCUAUAUUCAUUUGCUUAUUAGGCGCGAUCGGACGGAUGAAAUCGAUUUUGGUGGACGACUCAGAUCAAAGCAGGAUAGGUAUAAAUGUAACGGCCCCGGAAAUUAAAAUGAAACG